rnacentral:sRNA from 1 species
CCUGCUUCGUCGCUGAGUCCCGUCACGAAGGCCAGGUAUCACCGCAUUGCGCGGAGCGACGGGAGCGGUGCACCCAGCAUCCGAGCCACCCUGGUGGCUCUUGGGGUGAAGCCGGCUCAGGCCGGCCGAGAAUCUAGGAUCUCGAACCCGACAGGUCAUGCCUCGUAAGCGCUCCUGGAGAGAUCC